rnacentral:rRNA from 1 species
AUUGAACGCUGGCGGCAGGCCUAACACAUGCAAGUCGAGCGGAUGAAGGGAGCUUGCUCCUGGAUUCAGCGGCGGACGGGCGAGUAAUGCAUAGGAAUCUGCCUGGUAGUGGGGGAUAACGUCAGGAAACGGGCGCUAAUACCGCAUACGUCCUGAGGGAGAAAGUGGGGGAUCUUCGGACCUCACGCUAUCAGAUGAGCCUAGGUCGGAUUAGCUAGUUGGUGGGGUAAAGGCCUACCAAGGCGACGAUCCGUAACUGGUCUGAGAGGAUGAUCAGUCACACUGGAACUGAGACACGGUCCAGACUCCUACGGGAGGCAGCAGUGGGGAAUAUUGGACAAUGGGCGAAAGCCUGAUCCAGCCAUGCCGCGUGUGUGAAGAAGGUCUUCGGAUUGUAAAACACUUUAAGUUGGGAGGAAGGGCAGUAAGUUAAUACCUUGCUGUUUUGACGUUACCAACAGAAUAAGCACCGGCUAACUUCGUG